UAGAAUAUCCUUGAUAUUUACGCUUCAUCCAGUAUCUUUUCAUGGAAAUAUAAUUCUAAGUAUUCUUGAUAAGUUUUAACUUUUUCAUGCCGGAGUACUAUUCACAGGGUUACUAUUCCCGAAGUUACUAUUCAUGGGGUACUAUUCACUUGAUUACUAUUUACCUGGGGUACUAUUUAUGACAAAAAUUAAUUCCUUUUCAGUCCAAAUCAUUUUUGAUAUAAUAUUAUUCUUGAAUUUUACUCCACAAAGCAGUAUCAUGUUGACAAUUUGGACAUUAUUGAAUUCUGG
rnacentral:lncRNA from 1 species